rnacentral:misc_RNA from 1 species
GAUGAAGAACGCAGCGAAAUGCGAUAAGUAAUGUGAAUUGCAGAAUUCAGUGAAUCAUCGAGUCUUUGAACGCACAUUGCGCCCGCCAGUAUUCUGGCGGGCAUGCCUGUCCGAGCGUCAUUUCAACCAUCAAGCCCCCGGGCUUGUGUUGGGGACCUGCGGCUGCCCGCAGGCCCCGAAAACCAGUGGCGGGCUCGCUGUCACACCGAGCGUAGUAGCAAUCACCUCGCUCAGGGCGUGCUGCGGGUUCCGGCCGUUAAACAGCCUUACAAAACCCAAGGUUGACCUCGGAUCAGGUAGGAAGACCCGCUGAACUUAAGCAUAUCAAUAAGCGGAGGA